AAGACCUUAUGCUUUUGGAGCGGCCGAUGUCUGAUUAGCUAGUUGGUAAGGUAAUGGCUUACCAAGGCGACGAUCAGUAGUUGGUCUGAGAGGACGGCCAGCCACACUGGGACUGAGACACGGCCCAGACUCCUACGGGAGGCAGCAGUGGGGAAUUUUGGACAAUGGGCGCAAGCCUGAUCCAGCAAUGCCGCGUGCAGGAUGAAGGCCUUCGGGUUGUAAACUGCUUUUGUACGGAACGAAACGGUUACSAUUAAUACCGUAACUACUGACGGUACCGGAAGAAGAAGCACCGGCUAACUACGUGCCAGCAGCCGCGGUAAUACGUAGGGUGCGAGCGUUAAUCGGAAUUACUGGGCGUAAAGCGUGCGCAGGUGGUUUUGUAAGUCAGAUGUGAAAUCCCCGGGCUUAACCUGGGAACU
rnacentral:rRNA from 1 species